CCGGCGGCUGGAGAGGGUGGCCCGGAGUGCAGGCCGCGGAGUCGGCGCUGGGGGGGGACCCCGGGGCGCCCCCGGGCGGCGGAAAGCGGGCGCGCCUCUGGCCAGGCCGGGAUUGGGGCGGGGCGCGCGGCCUCCCUGUGGGGAAGCGGUCAGCCGGCCUCGCAGCCGCCGCCGCCAAAGUUUCCCGGAGGAGCCGCGGGCCGCCCUUCCUCUCCGGCCCCGCGCGCUGCCGCCCCUCAGGCCCGCACCGCCCCGGGGCGCCCGGCCCGGCUCCAUUGAGCGCAACUCGGAUCCCAACUUGGGAGGCGCCGCGGGCCUGCGCACGCGCGCGCCCUCCCCGCUGCCGCCGCCGCCGCCGCUGCCGCCGCCGCCGCUGCCGCCGCCGCCGCCGCCGCCGCCCACUCGGGAGCAGCUCCGGGCCGAGCCGGGCACCCAGACCCCGGGCCCGCACACCCCGCGCCGCCGCCCGUGCCCGCGCCCGCCGCCCGCUGCCCGCUGCGCCCUCGCCCCAGCGCCCGCUGAGCGCGCCCGCCCGCGGCCCAGGCUGGGCCCGGCCGGCCCGGCCCUCGACAGCGGCAAGUUUGGGAGUUGCACGAGUUUGCGGGGCGGGGGACAGGCCAGGAGGGCGGCCAUGGAGGAGGAGCGGGGGUCGGCGCUGGCGGCCGAGUCGGCGCUGGAGAAGAACGUGGCCGAGCUGACCGUCAUGGACGUGUACGACAUCGCGUCGCUUGUGGGCCACGAGUUCGAGCGGGUCAUCGACCAGCACGGCUGCGAGGCCAUCGCGCGCCUCAUGCCCAAGGUCGUGCGCGUCCUGGAGAUCCUGGAGGUGCUGGUCAGCCGCCACCACGUCGCGCCCGAGCUGGACGAGCUGCGUCUGGAGCUGGACCGCCUGCGCCUGGAGAGGAUGGACCGCAUCGAGAAGGAGCGCAAGCACCAGAAGGAGCUGGAGCUGGUGGAGGAUGUGUGGCGGGGGGAGGCGCAGGAUCUCCUCUCCCAGAUCGCCCAGCUGCAGGAGGAGAACAAGCAGCUCAUGACCAACCUCUCCCACAAGGAUGUCAACUUCUCAGAGGAGGAGUUCCAGAAGCAUGAAGGCAUGUCAGAGCGGGAGCGACAGGUGAUGAAGAAGCUGAAGGAGGUGGUGGACAAGCAACGCGACGAGAUCCGCGCCAAGGACAGGGAGCUGGGCCUGAAAAAUGAGGACGUUGAGGCUUUACAGCAGCAGCAGACACGGCUGAUGAAGAUCAACCAUGACCUUCGGCACCGGGUCACGGUGGUGGAGGCCCAGGGGAAAGCCCUGAUCGAACAGAAGGUGGAGCUGGAGGCAGACCUGCAGACCAAGGAGCAGGAGAUGGGCAGCCUGCGAGCAGAGCUGGGGAAGUUGCGAGAGAGGCUGCAGGGGGAGCACAGCCAGAAUGGGGAGGAGGAGCCUGAGACGGAGCCGGUUGGAGAGGAGAGCAUCUCCGACGCAGAGAAGGUGGCCAUGGAUCUCAAGGACCCCAACCGCCCCCGGUUCACCCUGCAGGAGCUGCGGGAUGUGCUGCACGAGAGGAACGAGCUCAAGUCCAAGGUGUUCUUGCUGCAGGAGGAGCUGGCUUACUAUAAGAGGUUUCCACACGAGACCACAAGCAACAUGAGACCAGAAGUCUUAUUUAUCUUGUCCAUGGCUAAGUUCCCAGCACUUAGAAUGGAGCUUGGCACACAGUUUACUGACUGUAUACUGGAUGUUCAAAGAUGGGAGAGGCCGGGCGCGGUGGCUCAUGCCUGUCAUCCCAGCACUUUGCGAGGCCGAGGCAGGCGGAUCACUUGAACCCAGGACUCGAAACCAGCCUGGGCAACGUAGUGGGACCCCCAUCUCUACACAAAAAUUUUUAAAAAUUAGCCAGUGAAGAAAUGGAAGAGGAAAACCGAAUAUCCCAACCCCCACCCAUCGCCCACCCGAGGACGUCCCCCCAGCCGGAGUCGGGCAUCAAGCGACUGUUUAGCUUCUUCUCCCGAGAUAAGAAGCGCCUGGCCAACACGCAGAGAAACGUGCACAUCCAGGAGUCCUUUGGACAGUGGGCAAACACCCACCGCGAUGACGGUUACACAGAGCAAGGACAGGAAGCCCUGCAGCAUCUGUGACCUUGGCCCAUCUCCACCCUCCAACCCGGACUGCCCGCCACCAGCGCCUGCGACCGAACUGCAGCCCAGGGGUCAUUGCUGCCUCAAGCCGCUCGGUGCAGACGCACCCUGAAAACUGACCCCUCAAACAGACUGUCUGAUUUGAGGAUGGACAUUGAAAAACCGACGCCAAACUCUAAAGAAAUGUUUAUUUAUACCCAGGGCUAUCACUGUUUCUAAUAGAUGACUCUGAUCCCGUAGGAUAUAUAUUUAAUAAUCCCACAAACGGAGGCCAGACUUCUGCGUUAACUUCAGUAACACAAGCUUCUUUAAGCCAAAUACAUCACUUGCCACUAUCAUUGCUGUUUGACUUGCUUUGUAUAAAAUGCUGUGUGUAGAGGUUUUAUUAUCACAGGUGACAUAGUUCAGCAGGAGGCAUGGAAGGGCUAGAUCUUCAUUAGUUACAUUCAUGAAAUUGUGAUGGUAACGUAUUAUACAGAAUGUAUCCAUCAGGCAGACAAGGGGUCUGAAGUCACAGGCUCAGUAGCCCAACUCAGACACAAAGCCACAGACAAUAUGGAUGAUGGUCCUCUUACCCAGAAACUGGAGACAACUUUGCAGGCGCCCUGGCUGCGUUCCUGAUAAUGCCUAGAGCAUGUAGCAAUGUUCAAGGCAGGUGCCUUGGAAUCUGCUGUGAGUUAUGCAGUACUAACCAAACAAAGUUGCUAAGGAUGA